rnacentral:rRNA from 1 species
GCGGCUAUAGGCGGCGGGAGACACCCGUUCCCUUCCCGAACACGGAAGUUAAGCCGCUUGCCGCCAAUGGUACCUCACCGAAAUGGUGCGGGAGAGUAGGUCGCCGCCGAGG